rnacentral:rRNA from 1 species
CUACGGGUGGCAGCAGUGGGGAAUAUUGCACAAUGGGCGCAAGCCUGAUGCAGCCAUGCCGCGUGUAUGAAGAAGGCCUUCGGGUUGUAAAGUACUUUCAGCGGGGAGGAAGGGAGUAAAGUUAAUACCUUCGCUCAUUGACGUUACCCGCAGAAGAAACACCGGCUAACUCCGUGCCAGCAGCCGCGGUAAUACGGAGGGUGCAAGCGUUAAUCGGAAUUACUGGGCGUAAAGCGCACGCAGGCGGUUUGUUAAGUCAGAUGUGAAAUCCCCGGGCUCAACCUGGGAACUGCAUCUGAUACUGGCAAGCUUGAGUCUCGUAGAGGGGGGUAGAAUUCCAGGUGUAGCGGUGAAAUGCGUAGAGAUCUGGAGGAAUACCGGUGGCGAAGGCGGCCCCCUGGACGAAGACUGACGCUCAGGUGCGAAAGCGUGGGGAGCAAACAGGAUUAGAUACCCUAGUAGUC